AACGAACGCUGGCGGCAUGCCUAACACAUGCAAGUCGAACGAAACCUUCGUGUCUAGUGGCGCACGGGUGCGUAACGCGUGGUAACCUGCCCUUAGGUUCGGAAUAACUCCCCGAAAGGGGUGCUAAUACCGGAUAAUGUCUUCGGACCAAAGAUGUAUCGCCUUUGGAUGGGCCCGCGUUGGAUUAGCUAGUUGGUAGGGUAAAAGCAUACCAAGGCGACGUUCCAUAGCUGGUCGGAGAGGAGGAUCAGCCACAAUGGGACUGAGACACGGCCCAGACCGCUACGGGAGGCAGCAGUGGGUAACAUUAGACAAGGGGGGAUAGUCUGAUCCAGCAACGCCGCGUGUGUGAUGAAGGGGGUAGGGUUGUAAAGCUGUUUUAGCCGGGAUGAUAAUGACAGUACCGGGAGAAUAAGCACCGGCUAACUCCGUG
rnacentral:rRNA from 1 species